UACAGAUGGUCAGUUUAGGACGGUACACUUAGAGAUGGUUAAUUUAGGUACUACAGCCUAGAGAUGAUUAGAUUAGGUACUAGUUAGAGAUGAUUAGUUUAGGAACUAGUUAGAGAUGGUUAGUUUAGGUGCUAGAGAUGGUCAUUUUAUGUACUAGGCCUAUGAUUAGUUUAGGUGUUAGAGGCGGUUGGUUUCGGUGUUAAGAUGAUUAGUUUAGGUCUUAAAGAUGGUUAGAGGUGGUUAGUUUAGGUUAGAGCUGGUUAGUUUAGGUUAGAGACGGUUAGUUUAGGUUAGAGGUGGUUAGUUUAGGUUAGCGGUGGUUAGUUUAGGUUAGCGGUGGUUAGUUUAGGUUAGAGGGGGUUAGUUUAGGUUAGAGGGGGUUAGUUUAGGUUAGAGACGGUUAGUUUAGGUUAGAGGUGGUUAGUUUAGGUUAGCAGUGGUUA